CAGCAGUAGCCACGGUAAUACGGAGGAUCCAAGCGUUAUCCGGAAUCAUUGGGUUUAAAGGGUCCGUAGGCGGUCUUGUAAGUCAGUGGUGAAAGCCCAUCGCUCAACGGUGGAACGGCCAUUGAUACUGCAGGACUUGAAUUAUUGGGAAGUAACUAGAAUAUGUAGUGUAGCGGUGAAAUGCUUAGAGAUUACAUGGAAUACCAAUUGCGAAGGCAGGUUACUACCAAUUGAUUGACGCUGAUGGACGAAAGCGUGGGUAGCGAACAGGAUUAGAUACCCCCGUAGUCCCUGUCUCUUAUAC
rnacentral:rRNA from 1 species